rnacentral:piRNA from 1 species
UUCAGAACGGUCCUACAGUA